AUACUUACCUGGGUGGGGUCAAUCGAUGAUCAGGAAGGUUGAUGGCCUAGGAAGGCCACCUUCAUUGCACUUUGGAGGGGGUUUUCCCUAACAUCUCUCAUUGAGGAGAUUGCACGUCAUAAUCUAUGAUAACAGAGGCCCACGUCUGCGUGACCUCCAC
rnacentral:snRNA from 1 species